rnacentral:tRNA from 1 species
GCGGAUGUAGCUCAGAGGAAGAGCGCCGGAUUUCGAUCCGGAGGUCAGGGGUUCGAGUCCCUUCAUCAGCA